rnacentral:piRNA from 1 species
UGAGCGCCAUCUUCCCUGACAGGGUCCU